rnacentral:rRNA from 1 species
UACGAGAGGCCCAAACGUUAUUCGGAAUUACUGGGCUUAAAGAGUUCGUAGGCGGCGCGGAAAGUGGGGUGUGAAAUCCCUCGGCUCAACCGAGGAAUUGCGCUCCAAACUGCCGUGCUUGAGGGACCUAGAGGUGAGCGGAACUGAUGGUGGAGCGGUGAAAUGCGUUGAUAUCAUCAGGAACACCGGAGGCGAAGGCGGCUCACUGGGGGUCUUCUGACGCUGAGGAACGAAAGCCAGGGGAGCGAACGGG